GCACCGCUGACGAGUCCCAAACAUGACGAAACAGCUGUUCAGUGC
rfam:Echinostoma caproni strain Egypt genome assembly, scaffold: ECPE_scaffold0000409